GAUGAACGCUAGCUACAGGCUUAACACAUGCAAGUCGAGGGGCAGCGGUAUCGAAAGCUUGCUUUCGGUAGCCGGCGACCGGCGCACGGGUGAGUAACGCGUAUCGAACCUGCCUCAUACUCGGGAAUAGCCUUGCGGAAGUAAGAUUAAUGCCCGGUGUUUUCAGAGUCCCGCAUGAGGCUUUGAACAAAGAUUUAUCGGUAUGAGAUGGCGAUGCGUCCCAUUAGCUUGUUGGCGGGGUAACGGCCCACCAAGGCAUCGAUGGGUAGGGGUUCUGAGAGGAAGGUCCCCCACAUUGGAACUGAGACACGGUCCAAACUCCUACGGGAGGCAGCAGUGAGGAAUAUUGGUCAAUGGGCGGAAGCCUGAACCAGCCAAGUAGCGUGCAGGAAGACGGCCCUCCGGGUUGUAAACUGCUUUUAGUUGGGAAUAAAACGGGGCUCGUGAGCCCCCUUGCAUGUAACAUCAGAAAAAGGACCGGCUAAUUCCGUG
rnacentral:rRNA from 1 species